rnacentral:RNase_P_RNA from 1 species
GCGGGGGAAUGCACGGCCGCGCCCGGGCGCGAGUCCGGGUGAGGAAAGUCCGGGCACCGCAGGGCAGGAUGCCAGCUAACGGCUGGUCGGCGAGUCGAGCGCCCACCCAUGCGCCGCAGGGGUGGAGAGCGGCGAAGUCGAAGGACAGUGCCACAGAAACCAGACCGCCAGUGUCAUACAGUCCCGGCGCGGACGACACUGGUCAGGGUGAAACGGUGCGGUAAGAGCGCACCAGGCCCGCAGGAGACUGUGGGUGUCUGGUAAACCCCAUCCGGUGCAAGACCCGACAGUGCGCGAGGGCGGCCCGCCCGUUGACCGCCAGGAUGGUCGCUUGAGGCGCCUGGCAACAGGUGUCCCAGAGAGAUGGCCGCGCAGCCACGCAAGUGGCGGACAGAACCCGGCUUACAGUUCCCCCGCACCA